AACAACUGGAGACUCCAAGCCAGUACACAUGCCUAACAUUCCUUUGUAUUUUCUACUUGCAGGAUAAAAAUGUCAAGGGGAAACCAGAGUCACAUCACAGAAUUCCUCCUUCUGAGACUGACCAGUGACCCUAAGCACCAGGAGUGGCUCUUUGCCAGCUUUCUGGCCAUGUAUCUGGUCAACGUGGCUGGCAACUCAGUCAUCAUUGCAGCCAUCCGGGGGGACACCCGCCUCCACACCCCCAUGUACUUCUUCCUCUCCAAUCUGUCCCUGGUGGACAUCUGCUUU
rnacentral:lncRNA from 1 species